rnacentral:rRNA from 1 species
UACGGGGGGGGCAAGCGUUGUUCGGAAUUACUGGGCGUAAAGGGCCAGUAGGCGGCCAACUAAGUCCGACGUGAAAUCCCAAGGCUUAACCUUGGAACUGCGUCGGAUACUGGAUGGCUUGAAUUCGGGAGAGGGAUGCAGAAUUCCAGGUGUGGCGGUGAAAUGCGUAGAUAUCUGGAGGAAUACCGGUGGCGAAGGCGGCAUCCUGGACCGACAUUGACGCUGAACGGCGAAAGCUAGGGGAGCAAACGGG